rnacentral:tRNA from 1 species
UUCUCGGUAGCUCAGUUGGUAGAGCGGUCGGCUGUUAACCGAUUGGUCAUAGGUUCAAGUCCUAUCCGGGAAG